CCCUUAGAUGUCCGGGGCCGCACGCGCGCUACAAUGGAUGAAUCAACGCGUCAUCCUGGCCCGAAAGGGUUGGGGAACCGCUGAACCUCAUCCGUGGUUGGGAUUGGGGUUUGUAAUUAUUCCCCAUGAACUAGGAAUCCCCAGUAAGCGCGAGUCAUAAGCUCGCGUUGAUUACGUCCCUGCCCUUUGUACACACCGCCCGUCGCUACUACCGAUUGGAUGGUUUAGUGAGAUCCUCGGAUUGGUCACGGCACGGUGGCAACACUGCGUCGGUGUGCCGAGAAGACGAUCAAACUUGAUCAUCUAGAGGAAGUAAAAGUCGUAACA
rnacentral:rRNA from 1 species